GAUGAACGCUAGCUACAGGCUUAACACAUGCAAGUCGAGGGACCGGCGCACGAGUGAGUAAUAGGUAUCCAACCUGCUCUUUACUCGGGGAUAGCCUUUCGAAAGAAAGAUUAAUACCCGAUGAAAAGGAUGGGGAUGCGUUCCAUUAGGUUGUUGGGAAGGUAACGCCUCACCAAGCCAUCGAUGGAUAGGGGUUCGGAGAGGAAGGUCCCCGAGGUUGGAACUGAGACACGGACCAAACGCGUACGAGAGGCAGAAGAAAAGAAUAUAGGGCAAGGAGGGUUAGCCUGAACCAUCCAAGUAGCGUAAAGGGUGAAGGCUUGUGAGUCGUAAACUUCUGUGAAAAAAGAAGAUGUAUUAAAUGAAUAAGGAUCGGCUAACUCCGUGCCAGCAGCCGCGGUAAUUC
rnacentral:rRNA from 1 species